ensembl:lncRNA
AUCCUCAAUUCUCCCAAAGUAUAUGCCAGUGUAUCUUUGUGUCACUUCACUGUUGCUUACGUAAGUUUCUUUUACUGAUCCUUUUGGACUUAGGAAAAACUAAACCUCUAUUACUGCAUUCUUCCUUCGGACUCUGUCACCCUAUCUGUGGCUGAUUAUAAUACUUCAGAGUGUGUUCUAUUUAACCAGCACUGUGUGUUUAGGUUGAUAAUGAUCUGACUGAAGUUUUCCUGCUUUGGAAUACCAUUAAUGACUCAGAGCAGAAAGAACAAACACAGACUUUGGUCUCCCGGUGUUGUUAACAACUAAAAUAUCUCAUUCCAAACAAAAAAAAAAAAAAAAAAAAAAAAGGUUGUUUGUUACAGGAUAUGUAGUUCAGAUUUUGACAUAUUUCUGCUGCUUGUCUUUGUCAGCUGAGAGUGCUUGUUCAUAGUUCCCUGCCAUAAGGAGAACUAUCUUUUCAGCUGACUUCAUCACCCCAGUCAGAGCCAACAAAGAGUUCUCCAAAGUCAACAUAAAAACUGCCUUCUUGGAAAGAUCCAGUGUCAGUGAACAGUGAAGCACCGUAAAUUCCCAAACUACUACUACUGUGAUCAGCACGUUUAAAUCAUGUCAUGGAGCAUAGGCUUGUUAUCCAUUGCUGGUGUCAGCACCUUGGAAAUGGGAGCCUUUAUGCAUCCUGUCUCCUCUCCAUCUACGUGGAUAUCCUUGCUGUUACUGCUGAUGGCUUCUUUUGUUAUGUGUAGAAUUGCCCUGAUUUGCCUGCAAAGUGGAAAGGACCUGUGAUUCUUCUUGAGGUGUGGUACUCCAAUUAUAAAACCAUAAACUAAACGAGAGCUUUAAUUAUAAUGGAAAACAGAUUAGAAUAUUGUCAUUUGCCUUGCUGGGGAGCCAAGGGGAGAUUAAAAAGCCAGUGGCCUAAAUUUGUUAUUUGUAUUUCUGUGAGUCAAACCUCAAUCAUGUAAAACAGCCAGUAGGCCUGUAUUAAUGGGAGAGGCCAAGAGAACUGAAUCUCAAAGGACUGUUGCCCUUAGGACAUGGUACGUUAUGAUAAUGUGAUGAGGAAUAAUUACCAAAUGUGAAAUAUAUAUUGUCAAACAUAGGAGCAAGCUAUUCCUGACUGAAAAUGAGGAUGUGAGCAAGAUAGUCAUGCCAAUCCAGCUAUGGCUGGAUUUCUAAAGGCAUCUUCGCUAAAACCAGCUGCUGUGGCACUGAGCUGGCAAUCAGUUCUCACAGAGUCAGGGAGAGGAGUGGAGUACUGUAAGCUUGUAUUGUUUGUAUUUAAACUUGAUAUUAAAUCUUCCUACAGAGUUAUAUAUAGAUUUAUGUUUAUGGCAGAGAUAAUAAUAGCAUUCCUGACCACUGCUAUGAUAAAGCACAUUGAAAGAGAGUAAUCACAAAAAUGCAAGACUUUGCCAAAUGAUAUUAAAAUAUGAUGCAUUUGUAUAAAUAUAUGCUAUUAAUAUUGCUUAUUUCUAAUAAAAUACAUGAGUGCUUCCUUCCUCCUCUUUCCAAGUGUGGUAAGAUGUCUUUCAAUAGCUAUUUCAUGGCCCAUGUGCAUGACAUUGUCUACAUUAAUAUGUUUGUGACGUGUAGUGUUGGAAGCAGAGCAUAAAUGGUUCUCUGACAGCUUUCCUCUUACGUGCUUAUGUGAUACCAGGCUGCAACACAGUCUUCUUUGCCUUUCUUUACCUUGCCAUUUGCCUCCAGGAAAAACAUACCGUAUGUGCUGAAAUAUUUAGUCUUGGUUCUUCAGGCAAAAUAUUAGCCUUUUCCAUGGAGUGGUGGAACUGGAUUAAAGGAAAGGGUAUCCAUAGCUUCAGUUAAAGGACACAUACAUAGGUGUAUCUUGAAAUAGAAGGCCAGCUGGAUUGAGUUCAGUGACAUUAUUUUCAUGGUUCAAAUUAUGCAUGAAUUGAGUAUUUUGCUAUAUGAAGCCUUUAUUAGGAGUAUGUGUAAAAAACCUCACCCACAUCUGCCUGUGAAAACUCAAGUGAAAGUAUAGCUCAGAAUAAAAGCAUGUCCAGCUCAACUGAUGUAGAGCUCAUGGAUCAAAACCUACUUGUGAUAUUGAGACAAAACUCAGUUUUUCAUCUCGGGGCAGAAGAGUGAUAUUGCAUUUGGCAUUGGACAUAACCAACUAUAGAUCGAGAGCAUUAGCAAAUUUGCCACAUAUCUUCCUUGUGUUGCUGAACAAUUUCCCUUUAAGGCAUUCUUUAUGGUAAGGGUGGCAGAGCACUGGAACAGGCUACUCAGCGAGGUUGUGGAAUCUCCUUCUACGGAGAUAUUCAAGACCCAUCUGGACAUCUACCUGUGUGACCUAUUGUAGGGUACCUGCUUUAGCAGGGGGUUGGACUCCAAGCUUUCUUGAGGUCCCUUCCAACCCCUGUGAUUCUGCGAUUCUGUGAUUAUUUUUUUUAGGUAUUACAUUGUUGGUAUCCUCACAGCUAUCAGAGCUGCUAGUGUGGACCUCAUGUUCUAUAAUAUCUGUAUAUUCACACCACUACUGCAUCGUAGGGUGAAACUUUUAACCCAUUAUAUAAAUGGAUAACUAGUGUUGAGAUUGGUUUGCCCAGAAUCAAAUAGGAAAUUUCUUGCAGGGAACACCACUGAUCUUAUACUUUAGAAUAGCAUUCAAAGUACUUUUUUCUCUGCUUCUUUGUGUAUCUGGCAAAUAAAUGUCUCCAGUAAAUUGCAAGAGAGUAUUUCUUUUUUGUUAUUGAACUGAAUAGCUUCUCAUCUUCCUCUGAAGAAAAGUUCACAUCUUGGAAAUGUUUUUGCAUCUCACUGAAGGAAACAUUUUAAAACUUUGGGAAUCUUGCUGUUAAAGAAAAAUACACAAAUGCAUAUCAGCAUUUUUAAACACUGACAGAAGCAGUUAUUAUAGAAUAGCUGGGUGAAGUUAUCUUAACAUUUUCAUUAAGAGCAAACUCAAGCCAGUGGAUAUGCCCACUCUUAAAAAGUAGUCACCCAUUUUGGCUUAUCCAAGUGUGUGGAUCACAGGUUAGACUUGAAACAAGUGAGCAAUUAAAGUAAAUGAGCUCUUCUGAAGAAUACUGUCUUUCCAUAUGCAAGAACUAAAAAUACUUAUUGGGGAGAAACUAAGGGAUAAGCCUUAAAUUUUUUAUUUUAUAUGCUACAGGCCAAAACAGAAAGUUUUAAAGACUGUACCAAGUAUGCACAACUUUUUUUCCACUCACUUGUCUACAUUUCCUUUAUAAAUCAUAGCUACGUGAUUUGAAGUUAAAAGUUUAAGAGUACACAGUUAAACACUUUCGUCUUCUCCCCUUAAAUUUUUAGAUCAUAAUAAUUUAUGUGUGUGGGAGAGGUAAAUUGUUG